ACUGGAAUAAUGUCUUUAUCCUUAUUAGAGUCACAGUUAAACUGCAAACACAUGAUUAUAACAGAAUUAUAACAGAAUUAGUUUGACUUUGAGCUCUGGAUUGCUGAAGGCUAUAGAGAAGGCAGUAAAGAAAUACUUGUUAUCCAGUGGCAGUACUGUCUGUAAUGUCUUCAGAUGUGGCUGUUCAAAUAAACACGCACAAACAGUUCUGUGCCAUGUUCGUUUUCUUUGGUGGUUGCUAUGGGAACGAGCAUACAAACUUGUUAAAUGGUUACUCUCAGUUCUCCCAGAUACCGUCUGUGUGAAAAUAAGUAUGACUAUUAGCUGGCCUUUGGGAGGCCUCCAGGAAUUUGCAGAAUUCCUCUACAAGAGAUUCCCUUCCUCUCCUCUCUCUCUCUCUCCCUCUCUCAUCGGUCAUCAAAUGGGAAGUCAAUAAAAAGAGGGAGGGCAGAGAUAGACUGAAAGAGUGUUGAGUGUUCUUUCUGAUAUGAGAGAUAGUUCAUGGAGUGUUCAGAUAAUCAGGGAACAAUGGACAACAUUUUAGAUGACUACAUGAUCUGUGGCUCCUACUUCACAUCUUAUCAGGGGUCAAUUGUGUUGUCUGCGGCUGUGAUGUGGAUUACAUUCGUAUGCUGUCACCACCUCUGCUGGUUUACAUACUAUUUAACUAGAGUUUACAUGCUAUUUUAAUAGUCGACAUGCAGUGGAAAACAUUGUGUUCUAGAGGGAUUUAUAUACCCAUAUAUAUAUAUAUAUAUAUAUAUAUAUAUAUAGCUACAAGGCAAAUGUAAAGAGAUGAAAUACAUGGAUUUGAAGUGCAGAGGAUCAUCCAGUAAGUUCAGGUCAUGGAAUAUGAGGAUGGCAACUGAACUGAUCCAAAUGAUACAUUGUUGCAUAUCUUUGAGAGUCAACACUUUUUCUUCUUCCUUUUUUUUUUUUUAAACAGAUGCGUGACAGUGGCUUGUUGUUCUUGCUUAUCACUUGACUUAAGCAAGGAGCAAUAAAUUCUGUGGUACUAUGGAAUGUUCUGUCGUU
ensembl:lncRNA